rnacentral:sRNA from 2 species
CCCACACCAAGAGCCGCGACGGAUUUAAACGAGGGCAGAAUCCACAGAAGCGGCGCUAGUGCUACCGCUGCCUUUUUGGGUAAUUGAUCUGCCCCCUCACCGUGCUUGCUAUAAAUAUAACUAUAUAAUUGUUCUGCCUGGCGUGUGGCUGCAUCCACGCAGUUCUUCAGAUGCUGUUGACGACUGAAAUACAAGGAGAGAGCGCCUUGGGAACCCGCAUGGCAACGUAGGCCCCUGCUCAUGUCAUGGUGGUGGGUGCUGUCCCCGCGGCAAUUCACAGGAUUGAGAGCGGCAUUACAAAACCAAAUUCCGAUUCUUUUUCAAUUUCAUGGUUUGGUUCUAUCCUCAAUCUGAAAAGAGGGGAAGAUAGGAGAAACUUGGAACAACCGAGAGGAGAAAUAUAAAACCAAGAAAAAUGAUAACCGUGUGGUUUGUCUGCUUGCCUGUCGUAUCAUUUCCAUUUCAAUUAAUCAAUCGAAGCUAUAGUUUAUUGGCAAAAAAAAAAAGAAAAAAAAAGAAAAAAAAAGGGGGGGAAACGAGAAAAAAACGAGUCCAGUCUCCCGAAGACGAAAAUGUAAUAUAAUUGUUACAAGAAUGAUUUGCUGUGUUUGUUGGGAUUUGGAGAGGAACCGACAUGAAAUCCGUAUGAGGGCAAACAAAAAAAGAGAGGAGCUGAUAGGAGGAAAAAAACAACCAAUAAACAAAGCUAAAAAGGAAAAAUGAUCACGUAUCAAAACCUUUUUUUUGGGAGGGGGCCAGGGGUCAUUCGCAAAAAUAAUAGACCCUGUUGCAAGACAAUCAAUAACGAGACAAAAGGAAAAGAAUCAUCAUUAGGGAACAAAACGAAGGAGUAAGCUCCCAUGUACGAAGGAGAGCACACGUGGAGGGCGGAAGGACCUAGCCCCAG